CUCUAUUUGUUACUUCCUGAAAAUAUUAAAUGUUCUUAGUUUUUCCUCUGUGUCUGCUAAUUCCAGUGUUUAAGUAUUUGCAGCUCUACUUCUGUCUGCUGUUUCAUCUUAUGUUAUUAAGCAUUUUGUGAAUUUUAGCUGUGAUUUGUGCCUUGGAACUUUGGAUAAACUCUAUGAGACUGUGCUGAAGGCGGUUUCUUUCAGAGGGAAUUUGCAUUUGUUUUCAUCAUGUGUGCCUGGGGUGGAGGUGUAACAUCAGUGUGUGGCAGGGACAUUUCAAGCUAAGUUCUCAGCUUGAGAUUUUAAAAAUGUAUUUCUUUGAAAUCUAUCAAAUCAUGUGAGUUUUGGGUGCAAACCCAAAUAACUGCUGGUUGUCAUUACCAGUUCUCAAGGGAGAUUUAAAUUUUGUUACUUCUACUCAUAAUGAAGGUUCUACACAAGAAAAUUUCUUUAAAAGUUCUUUGAAGGUGGCAAUCAGCUUAUUUCUGGUUUAUCCUUACCCUGGGGGCAUAGCCCUUUGAGAUCUCAACUUUAUAGGGAGAGUUGCCCAUUAGAUUUCUCAAAUUGAGCAAUCUUCAAGAGAUUGUGAAAAUUUAAACUCAAAUUGAGAUGAUUUGGCAAAUAUUCUCAUGGUGAAAGCUAGCUUCAGUGCUCUUUUUUCUUCUCUGAGUUUUGCCAUCAUUUAGUUUUUGGGUUGGGUAUCUUAUUUUCUUAUCAAAUCAUAAAUUAAUUUAAGAUGUUAUAAAAAUUUUUACCUUUCAGUUUUAGGGUUUUUUUUUUAACUUAUGGUCAGUAUUGGUAUUUAGUCCACCACACUACUGGAAAUUGUUUUUUAAAAAUCUGAUUUUAAAUGACUGUAUAAUAUAAUAAAGUACCAUGUGAAUAUAUUGCCAUUAUUUUACCAUUAAUAUUUUAUGUAAACUCAUUUGUCAAGUUGAUGUACAAUAAUUUACUUAAUCACCCCCUGUUUCUUGAGCAUUUACCCUGUUUCCAUGUUUCUCUACUAUAAAAAUAUGAUGAUGAAAGUUAAAAAAUACUUUAUGUAUCCUCAGGUCUUGUAUGCCAUGAUGAAUUUCCAUUUUAUCAUGUGGGUUAUGGUGGCACAUAUACCUGUUUUGAGCCAAGGAGUGACAUGAUCAGAUUUACAUUUUAGAAAGAGUGAAAGAUGAAUUGCAAGUAAUUGAGAUCAAAGACAAAAAGAUUCAUAUUCAUAUCAAAGAGAUUCAAAGCCAUUUGAAUAAUCUAGGUAGGGUUUGAUGAGGCUAUGAACCAGCCCAGAAGCAGAAGAAAUUAAAAAGAAGGUCUAGAUGGGAAGACAUUUGGGGUUUUAGAAUUUACAGAAUUCAGUGAAAGGUUGAAUGAAAGGGAGUGGGGAGAAAUAACAAGAGGAUUCCAGUGGUUCUGGUUUGAGAAACUUGGUGGACGGUAAUGUCCUUCCCCAAAAUAGGAAAUACAGAAAGGGGCACAUUAUGAGUACAUGUGAAUAUAUGUUGUUUUAAGUGCCUGUGGAGUUAUUCACUGGGCCUUGGGAUAUUCAUAUCUGGAGCGGUCUGGGCUGAAGAUAAAGAUUUGGGAGUUUAGAAGGAACAUAUGGUAGUUGAAAUUUGGAUCUUAAAUGAGGCUGCCUGGGGAGAUUGUUAGAAAAAAAGGUUUAGGGUAAAACCAUGGAAAACACCAAUAUUUAAGAGGUCAGAGGCAGAACCAAAGUAAAUGAAAAUACAGAACUUGUUGUUCAAAACACAGGAAAAAAUUGCUAUUAAAGUUAUAUUACAAAGCUUUUUCUUUUCUCCUGUGGUCACUCUCUUGACAUCAUGCUGCCUUUUAUUUGCUAUUUAAUGUUAUUCCAAUAAAGAAAAAGUAGAACUUUAAGUUAUUUGCAUGAAUUUUAUCCUUCAUCUUUAUGUUGUGCAAUGCCAGUUUUUAACACAGUUUUAUUGAGAUAUAAUUUGCAUACAAUAAAUUCACCCAUUUAAUGUGCGCAGUUCAGUGGUUUUUAGUACUUUCACAGAGUUAUGCAACCAUCACCGCAAUCUAAUUUUAGAACAUUUUCAUCUUCUCAGAAAGAAAUCCCCUAUACCCAUCAGCAGAACCAAUCACCUGCUUCCCCAGUCCUAGGUAAGCAGUAAUCUACUUUCCGUCUCUAUAGUCUUGUCUGUUCUGGACAUUUAAGAUAAAUGGAAUCAUACGGUAUGUGGCUUUGUGACUAGCUUCUUUUAUCAAUGCCAAUUUAAAUGCAAAUAUUGUAAUAUUUAAAUUGGAUGUGGAAUUACUGAAAUAAUACACUUCACAUUUCAUGGCUCAUUUCUGGAGGGUGGCUCAAGCUGGGCAGAAGAGACAAAUUCAAGCCAAACACAGAAAGGUUGGAAGAAGGAAGAGAAAGGAUUCUCUUCCCGACUCCCCUUGUCCCACAGAGCCAGCUGAAGGAGAACUUCCAGGCCAGGGGAUGCUCGUGGGGCAAGUGCCCUACGAUACAGGCUACUCAUUUGCUUGGGCCUAAAAGCUGCAAGGUUUUCUCUUCUGUCAACAUGUAAUUUCCACACCACACCUUGGCCAAAGGUGAGUUUGGGGAAGUUGAGCCAGUCAUUUCCUCUAUCCAUGAUCUCUGCUGCCCCAACUCAUGGCAGAUGGCUGCUGCCCAAGGAUCUUUAAACCUCUGUGCCAAAACACACUGAGUACCUGGAUGGGGGUGGCCAAGAGGUUUGUGGGGCUAGACUCAGCCUCCAGUUGGUCACCUGCCAUACAUGCCAUGGUGCUGCUAAUGUGGCACAGGAAUAGAAUGUGCGCCCAACCCUGAUCCUCGUAGUACUGUGUCCAGGCCCUUUCCGGGGUCAGAGAGCGGCAACAGACAUGGGGUAGCAGUGGAGUUGCUGGGGUUGGGCAGGCAGGACCUGGGAUGCAAGGGGGCAUUGCACUGAGCAGCAAAAACCCCUCUCUGGGAGGUAACAGGAGGCAGGACAAGCAUGAGCUGAGACUCCAAGCCCAGUGUGUAUUCUGUUGUCCCAUUGGACUUUGCUUACAAAACAGAGACUCAAAGAGAAAAUUAUUAAGAAUUUCAGGACUGUGACUGCAGGACAUUAAACGCCAAGCAGGGGCCCUUCUGAACACUGGGUCUUGUGCACUUGCACUGGUCUCACUUCCGUGAAUCUCGUCCUGGCCAGAGAAAUGGAAAACUCGGAAGCAGCAGAAAGAGAGUUAUGACAGGAGCUAUAAGAGAGUGGUGUCCAAGAAGCUGACGAAGGAAGAUGUUCCAAGAAAAAUGGAGAAGUCAACAGAGUCAUUGCAAGAGGAAAGUGUAGAUAAGAAAAGGACUGAAAACUCUCAGAUGACAGCACUGUGACUGUGCUGAGAUCAAUUUCAGUGGAAUGGAGGGAAUAGAAGCCAGAUUACAAGGAUUGCAGAGUGAAUGGAAAGUGAGGCAAUGGAAACAAUGAGUGUUGACUUGUUAAGAAACUUGUCUGUAAAAGGAAGAGAUGAGAGUAGAACUCUGAGAAGCAAGAGUCUACAGUGGGGUUUGGUAAAUGACAGCCUGCAGGCUGGCCCAUGGCCUGUUUUUGUAAAUAAAGUUUUAUUGGAACAUAGCCAUAUCCAUUCAUUUACAUAUUGUCUUUGGCUGCUUUCAUACUACAACAGCAGAAUUGAAUAGUUGCAACAGAGACCAUAUGGCCUGCAAAGCCUAAACUACUUACUAUCUGACUUCUGCUCUAGAGCAGUGGUUCUUAAAAGUGUAAUUCCUGGACCAGCAGCAUCAGCAUCACUGGGGAAUUUAGAAAUGCAAAUUCUUGGGCAGUACUCCAGACCUAUUGAAUCAGAAACUUUGGGGUGGUAAACAGCAAUCUGUAUUUUAUCAAGCUCUCCAAGUAAUUCUGAUGCACCUUAAAGUUUGAGAACCAACAGGAUAGAGAGCAGAUGGAAAGACGCUCCUCCUCUUCGGAGGAGAGAACCUCUUCCUCUGAGGCAAAGGGAAGGAAAAAAGGAUGGGUGGGAUGCAUGAAGCUGAGUCCCACUCACCGAGUUCUGUUCACUCCCUACAUUAUCUCAGAUCAGUAACAUCCUGCCUGCCUAGAUCCCGUUAUUAGGUGGAAGUAACCGGGACUGAUUUCCAGGUGACAUGUGCAACACCACCUAAGUCCAAAGUUAAACUCAGAGGGAGGAAGAUUCCAGCUUAGCAUAUGGAAAGAAGAUCUGUUCCAUUGUAAGGUGGUGCCCUCCCAGGAGAACUGCAUGUUCACCCGUCUGGAACGCUGUAGAGGCCAUUCAUGCGUUGUACAGGUACUUAGAUCUUAAGAUACCUCUUAGGUCGUCUCCAGUCUAAAAUUCUACGAUUCCUGCCUACGGUGAACACUUCUUUCUAAUCCCUGAUUACUUAUUCUAUCUAGAGUCAAAAUCCCUUCUUGGAACACAUUUUGGUCUCCAGGCCUCUUUCCUUGCUUUUAGGGGUCAGAUUGCCCCCAGUUGUUCUCAGCUGCCUAGGGUUUAAUUAAACUAGCUAGUCAGGGAAUCUGUUGGCCUGCUUACAGACCAAUCAAAUGGCAGGGACAGAGUUGUCUUUUCUAAUGGACUCUCCGUUCGAUGCUAAGAAUUUCUGUCAAUAUUUAGUGAACGAUUCCUGCGUUCCGAAAAAUCGUGAAAGUGUGAAAGCCAGCAUAAAUCCUAGGUCACCACUAUACUUUCUAUACUCCUCAUUGAUUGUCUCUUACACUGUGUGAAUUAAUAACUUAAAUUUAGUUGUAUCUUUAGCAAACCAGUUCACGCAGUUCCAAUCUCUCAUACACUUGCUUUCUGUUAUACAGUUAGAACUACUUUUCUUUAUGAAAGGGCCAACAUGUUUUCAGGUAUGAGGUGCCUGAGGUCCAGACUGUUUCCCCCUCGCUCUGCUCAUCAUGAAACAACCAGGGAGAGAGAUGGGGGCAUUCAGGGACGAAGUGAAGCUGAUAAACCUAAUGUGCCACAUUGGGACCUAUGGGCUCUGAGGGGCUCAUGCGAGCUUACUCUAAGGGUGGGGGAAGAGGGCAAAGUCAGGGAGAUAGUGGCCUAGGGCGGGGGGAGGUGGUAGGGAGUCUCAAGGGGCCUCCAGUUGCUGCUCAGUCACUCAUCCCUUCUCAAAAAGCACACUCUGCCUCUAAAUCCUAGCUGUUCUGGGGGCCUUUAGGGGCUCCCAUGGUAAUGCUCAGGGCUGUCAAAAUUAUAGUUCUGGGGCUUUGACAAAUACCAUUAAAAUAUUUCGUUGAGAGGCCGAGUAAUAAAUAAAAUGUUGUGCCUUGUUUGAACGAACAUUUUUGAUGGCCUCUGUGUGUGUGUGUUUUCUAAUAGUUAUGUUUUCUCUUUGGUUAAUUGUCUUUUAUGACUUGGUGUUUUUCAUAAGAAAUUAGUUUCUCAAAGAGCAAAAAUAUGAAUUGUUUAUCUUUCACUUUUGCUGUAAAUAUUUUUCCCAGUUGGUUGUUUGCAUUUUUAUUUUGCCUGUGAUUUUAUUUAUAAAAUUUAAAAAUAUCAAGCAAUCAAAUCUGUUAGUGUUUCUCAAAUGAGAAGGUGGAGAAAUGUCACGCUCACCUGCAGGCCAAAGAAAUGCCCUGUGCAUGGGAAUUUUUUAGAUUUUAGGAAUGCUGUAGCGAAUGCACAGCAUCCUGGCAUGGGUAGAUCUGCCAUCUCUGAGUAGAGUAAAGAGAUGAGAGAGGAUCAUAUCCAAUUACUUUCGGUGUCCAGUUCUUGGAGGGCUUUGUCGGAUCCCUCUUUAAUAAGCUAGCAUGGAUGUCUGUCCAAAUUUGACUCCUUGUGUACAGUUAUUGGUAAGAAAAUAGAAUGGCCACUUCUAUACCAGCUCAUCAGAACUGCUGGGGUCCUGGCAAGUCUGUUCCCAUGUAUGAGGAAGAACCCAGGCAGUGUGAGGGAUCAUUUCCUAAUUCUAUGUUUAAUAAUGGGCAACUGGAGUGAUGCUCUGUCUGUGUUGCAGUAAUCCUAACCUCCUUGACAACUUCCCUAUGGAUGCUGGGUAAUUUCUGAAUUGUCCUCAAAAGGGGGAACUGACCUGGUCUAGCUCUGUGCCCUCACUUCUUUUAUGAUAGACAACCUACUCUAGAGCAUUUCCAGUGGUUUUGGAAUGAUGAGACUGCAACUUGCCUGCUGACCAUAGCUGUGUUGGACUGUAGAGUAUCGGACAGAUUUAAAAGAUCAGACUCUGUUCUUAACAAUGUAGCUUCUAACAUGGCUGAAAUCCCACUGGGUAAGUGAACACAUCAAAGGGAAGCUACUGCUGAGGGAGCUUGCCAUGUAGAUGACCUUACUCCUAGAUGUCCAGGCAGAAGGUCACAUGGAGCUGUCCAUAUUUGAAUCCCAACUUCCAUGUUACUUUGGGUAUUGAGUCCAGGCUGGCUUGAGGACCCUUGUGUGGGGGUGAAUAUACUGCCACCAGAACUAAUAGUAGGUCUUGAAGGCCAUCACAUAGCUUGCCUUCCAAGUAGGUGGACAUUUGGGAGAUGCUCUCAGAGCUUCAAGACAGGCAGGGAUUCGCCUUCUGUUAUCUGAGAGUGUGAAAUUACCCUUGUACUUAGAAUUGAAUUAUGACCUAAAGGGGUAUACUUCCUCUUAAAACUAGAGCCUGAGGCCUCUGAAGACACUGACAGAAAUUUGUGGUUAAGGUUCAUUUGUCCUGUGUAAUCCCCAUGAGUUCUGUGAUACUAUUCGUAAUAAGAAGUGGGAUGAGCACAAUUCUGCCACGACUAACAUCUCCUGAAUGUGGUAAUCAUUCAAGACUAGAAUUCGCUUUCACUCAUCCCUGAUUUUCUGGCCUAGCUGUGAAGGGCUGGAGUAUCAAUGAGCUUGGACCCCGGGCCCCUGCUGUGAGUUGGGGAAGGAGGGCUAGAAUCCCAUGUCUAUCCAUCUACAAGGGGGAUGGAUGGGAGGUCACUUUCAAAUGACACCCAGACUAGCUUGAGAGCCAUCUCAGCCUAUUCGGUUUGCACAAAUCCCAGAUGUCCUGUUUAUUUUAACACCUAAUAAAUGACAGUCUGCCUUCUGCAUCCUACACAGACUCCUGUAUCAACGGAAGUUCUUCAGAUGUCUAUAAUUUAUAAUCAUGUCUCACCGGAGUCUUCUUUUCUUCAAGUUAAACAGACUUCUUUUCCUUCAAUUAUUCCUUGCGUGAAAAAUUCCAAGGGAAUAUGGCAACAUUCACCAGCCAUGAACAUUCCAUCAGAAAAAUGGGCAAAGGAUAUAACCAUCAUAAAAAAAUAAAUAAUUAAAAAUGUUUGGUAGCCAUGUAUGAAAAGUGUUAACGUGCUAAUAAACAACGAAAUCCAAGUUAAACAGGUUUACCUAUCAGUUUGGCAAAAAUUAAGAUAGUUCUACUCAGUGUUGGUGAAGCUAUGGGAAAUAAGAAGUUUCAUACGGGGUGUGGGAGAGGGAGAGGUACUUUUGGAGACAGCCUGGGAAGAGUUGCCACAAGCCUUAAACAUGUGCACAUCAGAAUUCCGCUUAUCGGACUUUAGCCUGAGGAAAUAAUCAGACAAAUUAUAUGUCCAAGGAUGUUCACCUCAGCACUGUUUACAACAGCAAAAUGGCAACAAAUAAUGUCCCGUACUAGGGAAUUGGUUGAAUAAAUGAUGAUACAAUCACAUAAAAGGAUGGUGUAGCUCCAUAUUGCAAAGGAAAGAUGCAAUAUGUUUUUGGGAGUCAACUGGUUACAAAAACAAAAGAAUAACAUGAUGUUUCUGAAGGACACACAUGAAAAUGUUAACGGCAGUUAUUUUUGACCGGAAGAUUAUGGGGGACAAUCUUUUCUGUAUCUCUAUUUCUAAUUUCCCCCCAGUAAACAAGUAUUACUUGGAUCUUAAAGAAAUAUUAAAAGUUGAAAAUAUUUGCUAAUUUGAUAGGCAAAUUGGCCUCUUGAUUUAAUUUAUGAUUUUGAUUAUUAGUGAGUUUAAACAAUUUUUCAUGUUUAUUAAUUACUUAAUAAAAUGCAGUUAAACAGGGACUAAAUUAAAGUCCUGUGUUUUCAGAAGUAAUACUACCGUUGGAAGGUGUCCAGCACUUUCCAGUUUCCGUCUCUCAUUUUAUUGAUAAGGAUCAGGAAGUCCGGGGAGGUUUUCUGAUGUAACCAAACAUGAGGCAGAAUUAUGGCUGGUGUCUCACCCCACAGGCCACUGAACUUUCUGUUAGAGUUUGCUGUCUCUCUUGGAUUAGGGGCUUGGCACCUCACUACAUGCUUCCUGGCAAUAUCAAGUGUUCUUUUGUAUCAAUUCAGAGAUUAACUUGUGAUUCAUGAUUACUAAUGAUUAAUUUUGGAGGUGAUUUUAUGAUAGAUGUCACUUUACUCAAGGUUGUAUUUUUGCGUGUGUGAGAGGUGUUUAAGAGGGGUGUUCAUUGUACAACUCAGCCUGCACAGUGGAAUGAAGAACCUGGAACCUGUGGCAGAGGGCAUGGGUGUGACUCCGGCAGAACCAUUCCCUAGCUGUGGACCCCUGGGUAAGUUACUUAAACCCGUCUGAACUUCACACAUAUAUGGUCAAGAAUAUCUACUUCACAAAGUUGUAAGGAGGAUUAAAUGGGGUUGUAACAGAGAAUUAACGUAUGAAAAAGACCACUAAAGUGCUAAACUGAAUCUUAGAUAUCUAUUUAUCCUCAUUUGCUUGUUUAGAUCCUAUUUUUUUUUUCAGAAAGGAUUUGAGAAGGCAGCUGUAUAUCACACUUGCUACUGUUGUGGUGGUUUCGACUCUGUGCCAACUCUGUAUGAAGGUAUGGUUCUGUGUAAGGAAUCAGUGUUGCUCAUCUAUAAUGAAAAUACCCUCUCACUUGUGCACUGCUGGAUAAAAACUGAUAAAUUCAUCGUUUUAACAGUUAUCAGAAGUAACCUUGUGCUGGAUGCUAGGACAGUGUGCUGUACAAAAUCAACGGCCCAAACUUCUCACCUGGAGUCAGGCACUGGAGUCAGCCAGAGAGAAUUAUGAAAGGAGAGAUAUCUGAGACCUCCCUCCACCUCCUCAAUCACACUCUCCCUCUACACACUGUCCGUUAUGGCUUCAACUGCAAUUUAAAGAAAUAUAAGUGGCUAAGUAUAGAUACCUUUUUCUUAAUUAAGCUUUAACUAUAAUGUGUCUUUGCCUGAUCUAACUUUUAAUCAUUUUUUCUUGUCUUCACUCUUCUCUAAGGAUAUUGUCUUAUUUUCUCAUACUUAGGCAUGAGGGCUUAACUCUUAAUUAAGAGAAUUUCCCCCUCAGCCUUUGGCAUGAAUCACCUUGCCAGCUCUUAGUACCUUAGUAAGAGAAUAUUUUGUUUGAAAUUACUUUUUUAGGGAUGCAAGAUUCUGCUUUCACGUAGGUUUUCUUAGCCCUAGGCUUGACUUUUGUGCUGAAGGAAUAAGAUUACCAAGGAAGGCACAAACCUCAUGGCUGUCAUUUUCCCAUCAGAUAAAGCUCAUAACUGGCUAACCAGUUUUGUGUUACUUCUCCCAAUUUCACACGUCUGAUAUGGGGGAAAAGGCAUGGAUUUGGGGUUCAAGACCCAGCUUUGUAAUUUAUCUUUGGGAUCCAGGGCAGCUACUUAGCCUCUCUGAAACCUAGUUUACUCCUCUGUAAAACAGACAAUAACUACAUCCAUAAGAUUGUUAUGAAUGUUAAAUAAGAAAAUAUGUAAACCACCCAGCAUGGCACCUGCGCAUAGUGAGUCCUCAAUAAAUUUCAGUUCCUUAAUAUCUCUUACUCCUCUCUUUUGAGGCCUAUAACUGGGGUAAAGUUAUUUCCACAAAAUACUAAUUAUUAUAAUUUAACCACUCUAACAGCUUGUAGCAUACUUUAAACCUUAUUCUCAAAAGAACGAUGCCUGAUUUUUCUUGGGCUUAAAUAUAAAGUUCACUGCAUUUAUUAUUUGCCCCAGAAUACUGAGAGAACUGGCAGUUAAGAAUUUCACAGUGAUUAUCAGUGAUCUUUGAUAAGACACGGAAGAUAGGCGGGUUUCCAGAAAAUUUGGAAUGAGCAAAUAUUCCAAAUUUCUAAAGGAAGAACAAAAUAUGUACCCCAAUCCCCACCCCACCAAAUGAUAGGGUAUCCAGCUUGAUAUCAAUCCCCGGAAAAAUUCUAAAAAUGCAACUAAUGAUUUGUAAGUGUUUAGAAAAGAAAGCAGCGAUUGUUAGGAACUAGUGUGGAUUUACUAGAACCAGGACAUUCCCUUUUUUUUCUUUUAAAUGACUGUAAGUCCUGUGGAUCACAUUAAUGCUGUAGACAUAGUGUAUUUUUAUGCAGCAAAGCAUCUAACAAAAUUUUCGUGAUAUCCUUGUGGAUGAAAUACUUAGAGAAAUAUGGUCUGGAUUUUCUACCUAUCUUCCAUCUUUAUCUUAGUUCUAAAAAGAUUUUUGGUGGCUUUAACAAUACAUAAAAUUCAAAAGAAGAGGCCAAAAAAGAGGAAAAAAAAAGAAGUGAGGAAGUUAGAGUAAAGGAAAAACAAGGUUAGGGAGAAUAAGACGGAACCACGAGUGUGUGGUUGGUCCAUAAGACGUAUGCUGUGAGUUUCUGUUGUUCCACACUCUGUACACUCUCUAGAGGUGGUUUACAAAUUUUACUGUGGGCUUCCUAACAGUCCAAGCAAAGAGGAAAUAUCAUAAAUAAAAGUGUCCAUAAGAAAAAAACCCCAGUACUGAGAGCAGAGAGAAACUUCUGUGGGUUCUUGUAAAGAGGACAUAUGUCAUAUAGUAAACCAUCUGCGUAGUGUAUCCUUACAUGAAGUGCGAUGGUGAGUUUCAAAGGCUGCUUCUUAUGAAGUACCUUUGUGUAAACUGAAGCACUAUUGUGUGGAAAAAGUUCUACGGGCAGUUAGGGGUUAGGGGUCUUGAAAUGCCAUCAAGAGAUGCAACUCUCUGGUAAUCGGGGGAACACUUUUACCAUUAGGCUCUAGUUCAACAGCUGAUUUAGAAAACUUCUCCAAAGACUAUUGAUUAAAGAAUGGAUGCCUCUACCAUUCUGCUCUAUCCUUGGAUACCUAGAAUCAUCAUCAAAGAUUAAGCCAUUAAAGACAUUCCUCACAUUUUUGGAGAAUGAGAAUUUGGGAGGGACAGUGGAUACAAUGUUAAAUGGUCUUAAUACCUGAAAUGUUGGGUUAGAGAUAAAAAUUUGGUAGCUGUAAAUAUAUAAAAUAGUAGAUUUAGGUUACAAGCAAAUCCUUGACCUAUGGAACCAGGGACACCCUGAAAGCAAAGCAGACUAUUUGAAAAGAACCCUAGAAGCUUCUGUGACUGCAAACUCAGAUGGGCCUAUAUUGUGACCUGGCUUCCAAGAAAGCUAAAGUUGCAUCUGUUGAAGCAUUGUGCCCACAGAGUCCCACUGUACUCUCUUGUGGCCAGAUCAUGUCUAGAGCUUUGCGUUGAAGUGUUAUACCAUCUUCCAAGAGAGAUACCCAUUCAAAGGAGAGUGUCUGGGAUGCUGAGCAUUCUAAAGGGCAAUGUAGAGAAAUUGCAGAUACUCAUCCCGGAAACGAGAAGACAAAACAAAGUAAAACCUGUUUUAGUUGAAGAGACAUUAUGUAGGUAAGAGAAUAAUUUCUUCCUGGAUUAAUCUAGAGGGAAAUAUGAAAAAUUAAUGAUUGAUUAUAUCCAAAAAAUCGAAAUGGUCUUUCUUUUUUUG